rnacentral:rRNA from 1 species
UACGUAGGCAGCAAGCGUUGUUCGGAGUUACUGGGCGUAAAGGGUGUGUAGGCGGUUUCGUAAGUCUGGUGUGAAAUCUCCCGGCUCAACUGGGAGGGUGCGCCGGAAACUGCGAGGCUAGAGUGUGGGAUGGGAGAGUGGAAUUCCUGGUGUAGCGGUGAAAUGCGUAGAUAUCAGGAGGAACACCUGCGGUGUAGACGGCUCUCUGGACCACUACUGACGCUGAAACACGAAAGCGUGGGUAGCAAACAGG